UACGAAGGGGGCUAGCGUUGCUCGGAAUCACUGGGCGUAAAGCGCACGUAGGCGGCUUCUUAAGUCAGGGGUGAAAUCCUGGAGCUCAACUCCAGAACUGCCUUUGAUACUGAGGAGCUCGAGUCCGGGAGAGGUGAGUGGAACUCCGAGUGUAGAGGUGAAAUUCGUAGAUAUUCGGAGGAACACCAGUGGCGAAGGCGGCUCACUGGCUCGAUACUGACGCUGAGGUGCGAAAGCGUGGGGAGCAAACAGG
rnacentral:rRNA from 1 species